CCCUGGCGAAUGCGCGAGCAUUGCCACGCGCCGCUGUCACCGCCAUGUAGCCCCGGCCCGAUCGAUCUGUUUGCGCUCGCUCAGUCAGUCAUGGAUCCGUGGCGUGAGUCUCAGGCUCGCGAGGUGGGUGCUGUCGAGUCCCAGCUUCUCUCGGCGGAGUCCCUCUCGGUGGUGCUAGAUCCAAGGAUCCUGACUAGGUCGCCUUUGAUCCAGGGGUAGCAGCAGGAUCUAGAUCCAGGUCAAUCACAGGAUCAGGAUCUAGAUCCAGGUCAAUGAGCAGGAUCUAGAUGAGGGGUAGCAGCAGGAUCUAGAUCCAGCAGGAUCUUGCUCAGGGGUAGCAGCAGAUCUAGAUCCAGGUCAAUGUUUGAUAGAGUGGAGUUUAUCAACAGGGCCAAGGCUCGCUUCCAGCGCGCAGACGAGCUCGAGCCUCCAAUGCAACUUCUCACAAAUGGUCGGUGUGACUUUCUUUACGCUUCUCUUUCGCUUUUAUCCAAAAGAGAGCUUUCAUCUCCUCGUUUUUGCAGACAUGGUGGAAGGAACUGUGCCACUUCCAUCGAGAUCGACAAAGUCACCAAUUUUCGCGACAGAAGCCCAGGUCUUCUUUCCUGAGUCAAUGGAGAUGGUAUGAGCCCCGAGAAGAUGCGAAAUGGGAGUAUCGCUUCAAAGGCGUAAGCGAGAAAACUGGGAACAAACUCUCCCAACUCUAUCAGCCAGUUUUGAGGAGGAGGAGGAGGAGUGAUGAUCCAGCCGCUUUCAAAUGUUCCACAAGGUUUGCACCACAGGACACACUCCAGCUUCACUGGGACGUGAGCGGUGCUUUCAGGCCGAUCAGGGAUGGUCUAGAGAUUCCCACGGGCUUCUUCCUGACGAGGAGGAGGAGCCCGGAUGAUCUCGCCCCAUGAUCCGUGGAGUAGCAUCGACUGGCUCUGGCACGACCCCAGUAUCACCGAGAGUGUGAUGACGAGCGUGAAGAGGAUGCCGAUGGUAAAGGUGGAUAAAAAUAUAUAAGCAAGAGACGUUGGAGUAUAAAAGGGCAUUUUGUUCCAGGAAAGCUCAUAUAUGAUUUCAUUUCAGCUGCAGGUGAAGGAGUUGGAGGAGUUUGAGGAGCAGCAGAAGCUCCAACUCCAACUCAAGUACCUGAAAAGCCUUGUGGAGGUUUUAGGUGACAUGUCUGUGCUAUUCUACAACGUGAGUUAAGCUCCUCUGAGGAGUUUUGAGCCUAGAAAAGUAGCUAUAAGUAUCAACUCAAAUAAUUCAAAUAACGAAAUAUCAAGGCAGGGAUUGAGGCAACAUCACAAGGUAUCUGGGCGUUAAUGAAGCAUGAGAUGAAGGACAGUGAGAAGAUGGCCCAAACGGCUGACAGGAUUAUCAGCAUUCAUGAAGAAACCCAACACAACGUACUAUAAAAUGUUUUAAACUUUUAAUGUUAAAGUGUUAUGCAGAAAAUCCUUCUGGAGGAGAUCCUGGCCCAAAUGCAAAGGCAACUAAAAGACUUGGAGGAGUUAAAGCUGCAAGUGAAAACACAUUUAAAGUUCUUUAAAAUUUACACUUCUUUAUUUGCUUUUUCAGACAGUGGACCCAAGGCAUACAACCUCUCAGCUGCGUCUAAAGGAAGUCAUUGAGAGAUUGACUACAACAAAUGGAAUUCUCAAAAAUGUGACGCACUUGAAGCAGCUUCAAGACAAAUACUACGAAAUUACAAGAGAGCUGCGGGGGUUUUAUGCGUCUUGUCGUGCUGCUAAGAAAAAACGCACUCUUUAGUUAGAAUGAUAUGUAUUUCUGUUGUUUAAUCUAUCUAUAACUAUGUUUUUUUAAAGAGGCGCACUGGAUCUCCAGCCGGGUUUCAGAACAAAAGAAAAUUGGCCAUCGCCUUAGUUGGCCGCCGAGCUUUCGAAGUUUCAUUCUCGGGCAAAGAAACCGACAGAAGCGACGAGGGGAAGCAGUUCAGCACGCAUGCCGUGCUUGAAGUUUCUCUUCAACAUCAUAGCAAGCUUAUAAGAUUACAUUCGACUGUAAGUUUUCCUCGUUUUGCUUUAUUUCUUUUACUUGUUAAGGUUACUGUCCCGAAUCUGCCUCUGUUCCUAUGGAAGUUCGUCUGGAAAUACCUUUCGGCAUUGCUCCGAAGGUGAGGCCAUUAUUUUCGUUCUUUGAAACCUGAUUGUUUCUUUUUGUUUCCAGACAAUGAACCCGAUUCUUCCCAGUGAAGUCAUCCCGCUCCCUGUUCAUCUGGCAGAAACAGGCCGCAUUAGCUGGCGUCCCUCCAAUAAAGAUUAUCUUUGGAGCGAAGCACAACCUUUGUCGAAAGUUGAUGUCGACGAACUAUCCCUCGGCGUCACAGCGACCGUUUGUCUGCUAUCCAUCUCGGCCCAGCCAAGGUCCAUUCCGCUGUUGCGUCAGUGUGGAGGAGACGGAAGUGUCGGCUGCAAUAUAUGCUUCAAAGUCUUCGUCAGACAAGCUUCAAGUAACCUCAGAGAUGGAAGAUGUGGAACGUUUUGCUUCAGGCUCCGCUUGUUAUAUGAAUUGUCUUCCAUGUGCCAUGGACGUGAUCGUCGAAAGGGGUGCUGGAGUGAAUGCUCAUACGUCCAUCCCGAAGGGCGAUUCUGGCUUCUUUUACGAGGUGGACGUCGUGCAUGACCUGAACAAAAAAAGCUACUAUCUUAGCUUCUUACCUAGAACUGUAAAGUUCGAACGCGCUGCAUCUAGAGAUAGAGGGGAAAGAACAGAAAGGCCUGUCGACGAUGAAAUGACCGUCUUUGAUCCCGGAAAUCCUUCAGGUCUUCCCGUUUAUGCACGGGUUGAUAAGGUGACGGAAGCGGGGCACGCAGACUCUCUUUGAUCGUUCCUUACUGCAGCGGGUUGAACUUAUCUUUUCUGGACGGGGAUGUGGACGUACAUGUCGCCGAAGAGCAGAGCCUGAUACAUACAGCAACCGGAGGCACAGGCAGCUGCGACGGAAGCUCAGGGUAUACAGCCACUUAUCGCGACUUCCACUGGCCGAAUGCUCUCGUACUUGCCUUCGUGCAAAACUAUUACUCCAGCGACACAAACAUCACCAGUAGCCGCUGACAGUCAUUGCAAUGAUUCCGUUCUGCCGCUUGCACGCAUAUAUUCUCCAACUACUCGCGAAGUUGGUGAAAGCAAAAUGCUGGCCUGGAGUCUACCACACCAUUUUGGUCGCAACCAUUUCUACUCGAACCACCUGGUGGGAAUACUUCUAUAGACAUUCCCAAACCGACUGGUAAAGGGGCAUACGUUGUUUCGAUCACCUCUAUCCCUGCAAUGGGAAGCUGUUCAGGGAAAACUAAAACCGUAACUUUCAGGCCAAGAUUUGUUCUGGCAAACACAUCUCGACAAGAUAUCUGUUUUAAGCAGCAAGGCACUGAUAUUUUUUAUCCCCUAGCUGUUGGACAAAACAUUAACGUCCACUGGAGUGAUACAACCAGAACUCUCCUGUUGCCUUUGCGGGAGCACGGCUGGGAUUGGUCUGGCGGAUUUUCACUUGAUCGGCUUGGAGAUACCCAAGUUAAAGUUUACAACCAUUUGACUGGUGAAAGAGAUGCUUCGGGUGGUGGUCAGCGACGCAAAUGCUGCGGGUGACAGCAUUGGUUCGGGAAAUGACAGGCUCGGGACGUUCUAUAUCAUCGUGACAAAUGAUGAAACAGGUUCAUGCCUUAUCGAAUCGACAACUUUUCGAAGGAGGUUUUUAUGCUGGCUUCUUUCGUGUUUAGCUGUGUUUACGUUCUCUGUUUUUAUAUCAGAAGCUGAGAUUCUACCACAAGAAGUGCCAGAAAACUGAGAACGUGCUGCAGCCUUAUAGUUCACGUGACUAUACUUGGGAUGAGCCUUGCCUGCCUCCACAUCUUGUCAUCGAGGUUCCAGACGAAGGAACUCUUGGAACAUAUCCACUGGACGUUGUCAAGUCUUAUCCGUCCAUCCAGUUGGACAGGUUUGUAAUACAAUUUAAUAUCACUGUUUGCGAUCAAAUGGUUCGUGUGGGAUUUUACAAAAACGAGAGGGCCGUUUUGUUGUUACUUUGCAUGCAAAGAGUCCUUAGCGUUGUCGACUUACUUCUCCAUACCGGACUUACGAAUGCUAAAUCCUCGCAUAGUAGAAUCUCUCAGAGAUUCCAGAAAGGGUUCUUCGCAAGAUUGUUCCUUGAAACUGGCAUCUAGUGCAACCACGCUUGUCAGGAACUUGCGUUGGCAUCAGCAAGAGGCUUUGAGUUGCAGUUUUUCCAAACUCAGCAGAAGAUGAAAAUGUAAAUCGGAUUGCUCCAAGUCGACAACGAACUCCGCCAUGCCAUUUAUCCCGUCCUACUUUCUACCGCGAAGUCUUCGGGCAUCUUGAUGAGAGGCAUAAUAAGCAGUGAAUGGAACUCGUCUCGACAGUUAGCACAGGAGAAGAGCGAGAACCCGCACUCUGCUAUUGUCUCAAAAUGCAGGCAUCCAAUCGGCGCGGUUCAUUGCUACCAAUGCAUCUACUUGAGCAUUGCUCCAUUGCGUCUACAGUUGGAAGAACGCAACUUAACCUACCUGUUGGGACUUUUCAAAGGUCUUUUUGUUGGAGGGUCUACUACGGGAACCGAGAAAUCUAUGUCUUUCAAGUUACAGCGCUCCGGAUGGGGUAGUUCUUCAAACGUUCUGAGCAGCUUGAGAUUCGUCGAGACGAUGGAACCAAACAUGGCCCUAUAAUUGCGCAGUAGAGCCUGCGAAAGGUCCGACACAGAAGCUCAUCAUCUCUGUUAAGCAGAGGAGGAAGGUCUACGUUGAGGCUUUUCAUAUCGACCCGCUGGAGCUUAUUGUGAGCUUUUCAAGCAUUCCCUGGCUUCCGAAGGAGAGCCGUGGUGUAGCUGCACAGUCCCUGCUUUGGGUGACAGGAUCGUUGGUACAGAGACGUCUGAUAGCUUUGGCCGAUGUGGAAGGAGCACAUUCGUCUUCGUCAUUUAACGUUGGCACAUCCCAUGGCCAAUUGGAACUCAAUCCUAGGAAUCAUACAGCGUCACUAUACUCGCCAGCUGCUUCACGAACUCUACAAGGUUCUUGGCUUGGGUGUUACAGUAGGAACGAGGAGUUUGUUUAGUUUUUGCAUUUAGCAAGGCGGCCACGCAAAUGAGCAAGGCAGCUCGCAGGGGAAUGGUGAGACUACAUGAACGAAGGCGAGAACCAGUGACCUCGUGACAGCAGCAUUGUCAACGAUCUCCUGGAGGGAUUGACAGGUCUACUCCACUCCUCCGUUGGAAAAAAUCUCGGCAAUUUUGAGCGACCAUCUCGUAACAGGAACGGCUUGAAGAAAUAUCGUGGAGUAUGAGAACCUGAUUGGUCUUAUGGCCCUCUCAAGCUGGAUUGCCUGGGGCGUUCCUGGAAAACAAAAAAUCUGCGAAUAAAUCUCCUCUCCAGGAUAAGCUCCAUAUCCAAAAUCUCUCUCGCACAGACUUCUUCUUGUGCUGUUGCUGUUCCGGCCUCGGGCCGAGAAUUCUUCAUCGUCCCAAACGAGCCUUUUCCACCCACAUGAACUUUCCUUUUUGAUUACCUUUUCAUGUCUAUAAGCUUUUCUGCAUCAAGACUAGGGCUAAAGAAACAAUCAAGGGUAUGGCGCUUGGGUUAUGGUCCUUGCCAGAAGUGGACAAAGCAUUACAAGAAAUAGUAAGGCCCGAUGAGCAUC